rnacentral:rRNA from 1 species
AUGUCGGCCGGUGAGAUGCGGAAGACGGCGUGCGUCACCGGAGGGAGUGGCUACAUAGCUUCAGCGCUCGUCGAGACGCUGCUGGAGAAGGGGUACGCCGUCAAGACGACGGUCAGAGACCCCGAGGACACGGAGAAGAAUUCCCACCUCAAGGACUUGCAAGCGCUUGGUCCCUUGGAGAUCAUCCGUGCCCGGUUGGACGAAGAAGGCAGCUAUGACGAGGCAGUUUCCGGGUGCGACUACGCCUUCCUCGUCGCUGCCCCGACGGACUUCGGGUCAGCAGACCCUGAGAGGGAUAUGAUCGAAGCCGCCGUCCAAGGAACCUUGAACGUGAUGAGGUCGUGCGUGAGAGCCGGAACGGUGAAGCGGGUGAUCCUCACGUCGUCGGACUCUGCGGUCUCCAUGAGGCCGCUGCCGGACGACGUUCAUGUGCUCGACGAGAGCUCCUGGUCCGACGUUGAGUACCUCAGGGCCAACAAACCAGAAACAUGA